rnacentral:rRNA from 1 species
AUUGAACGCUGGCGGCAGGCUUAACACAUGCAAGUCGAGCGGGGUGAUGGUGCUUGCACUAUCACCUAGCGGCGGACGGGUGAGUAAUGCUUAGGAAUCUGCCUAUUAGUGGGGGACAACAUCUCGAAAGGGAUGCUAAUACCGCAUACGUCCUACGGGAGAAAGCAGGGGAUCACUUGUGACCUUGCGCUAAUAGAUGAGCCUAAGUCGGAUUAGCUAGUUGGUGGGGUAAAGGCCUACCAAGGCGACGAUCUGUAGCGGGUCUGAGAGGAUGAUCCGCCACACUAGGACUGAAACACGGCCCAGACUCCUACGGGAGGCAGCAGUGGGGAAUAUUGGACAAUGGGGGGAACCCUGAUCCAGCCAUGCCGCGUGUGUGAAGAAGGCCUUAUGGUUGUAAAGCACUUUAAGCGAGGAGGAGGCUCUUUUGGUUAAUACCCAAGAUGAGUGGACGUUACUCGCAGAAUAAGCACCGGCUAACUCUGUGCCAGCAGCCGCCGUAA